rnacentral:misc_RNA from 1 species
UCCGGUUUGGCACCGGCAGUUUCCCUAGAGUUCCCGGCAUGACCCGCUGGCAACUAAGGACAGGGGUUGCGCUCGUUGCGCCACUUAAGGCAACACCUCACGGCACGAGCUGACGACAGCCAUGCACCACCUGUGCAGGCUCCGUAGAGCGCCGGCUUUCACCGGCUUUGCCCUGCAUGUCAAGCCCAGGUAAGGUUCUUCGCGUUGCAUCGAAUUAAGCCACAUACUCCACCGCUUGUGCAGGCCCCCGUCAAUUUCUUUGAGUUUUAAUCUUGUGACCGUACUCCCCAGGCGGCACGUUUAUCGCGUUAGCUUCGCCACAAGAGGGGUCGAUUCCUCUUACAGCAAACGUGCACCGUUUAGGGCUAGGACUAC